AGUCCAUUACUCGUAAGAAAGCCCAGGCCUUUUAGUUAACCCAAUUUAUUUUUAGGUAUAAAAUCACUCGUCGUGUAGGUUAAGGCGGCGGCUAGGGCAACACCGCAACGAUCUAUGAUAAUCGUGUGUGUAUGUAUCUAUUUGAGUGUAAAGUGCUGAAUCAUUUCGUGAUGCUAUCUGUUUCGAAGUCCAAAAACAGUAAACAAUGAAGAAGAUGCUCCAGAAAAACAAAACAAUGAUCUGCCUGAUUGGGUUGGCAAGGGAAAACAGUAGUUCUACCAAACCCGCCUCAAAGUGGACAACGAGAAAUGCCAACAUUUUCGUUGCGGAAUUCCCACUUUGCUUGAUAUUUUGGUCAUGCAGCUGAUAUGAGGCAAAAGAACCCAAAGGCUGGCAACCCAUUUAAUGAAAUUGCACCUAUUAAAUGGGAGAUAAUUUGUGACCACUGCGAGGGAUUCCUUGUGACUCGGCCAACUGUGUGCGAGAGAACAUCAGAAGAGCACACAAUUGCUGAAGGUAGAUCUACUUCUUACUUAAUUCAUUAACAUAUAAAUAAUUUCCCUAUAAUUAUGCAUUGACCCAAAUAUAUUAGUUUAACAUGUAGUUCUUGCGUCUUUUUUCCCAUACCUGUAUAUCAUUUUAUUUCUAAAAAGACAUGAUAAGAUUGUUGUUAGGAAUUAAUCAUCAUAUUGGUUUUUGUUGUCCAUCAUUGAUUAAAUAUUAAAAAUUUGAGAAUUUAACUUUAAAGGUGUUUUCUCUUAGCUUUUAAUCUGAAAACACUUGCAAUACCACUUGUACAAAAGAUAACCAAGAAGGUAAUAUGAAAAUUAAACUGGCUUCUACAAAGAGAAAGAUAAAAGGAACGAAGCAGCACAUCGUGGAACUUUUGAAAUCGCAAGAACCGAGUUAAAAGUGAUAACCUUCUUCCAUGCAGUUCUGCAUAUGUAUUCUUUACAAUAUUGUCUUAUACUUAUUCCCAUGUAAAAUCAGGGCUCAAAAGACUUAAAAUCGAUGAUGUUCAGCACGUGCAAGUUACUUGAAGUAGUUUUUAUAUUUGUCUAUUUAUUUAUUGAGCUGAACGAUGUAUAAUAUGUGUUUGUUAACCCAAGAUCGAGUCUGUACUUUGGAAUGAUUUUUCUUAGUUUACCAGUUGUCUACAGAUUUCUGUAGGAUUUGCUUAGGUGCCAAAGUUAAUGUUUUCAUGAAGUUAUUGGUGGAAGAACAGAGAACAUAGUAUUGAUUAAUGUACAAGAAAUUUAUAAAAUGAAAAUUUUAUUAUUAUAUCCUUCCGGUAUCUGUCUGAAACUGCGAAUUGAUAAAUAUAUUAAUUUAGAAAAAUUAGGAAUUAAUAUAAAAAUAUUAAAUUUUGGUAUGUAUGUAGAAGAAUCAAACAUUUUUAUCCGCACCACUGAAUUGGCGAGAACAAUCUACUUCUAUAUAUAAUAAGCCAACCACGGGAAAAAUAUGCCUAAAUAAUACUUGUGAAAUGACAAGUAUAUCCCAGUUAUUUUUUAAUUACAUUUCUGCUAAGACCUAUUAAAGGAGCUUAACGCUUCCACUUUUGUCUUGAAAGAAACUGAUACACACCGAUGAUGUUCUUUUCAUCCUCAUCCCAAUACACGGUGUAGGAAUUAUAUGCGAAGAACAUUUGAGGUGUUGUUUGACAGGUAUAGAAGUAGAAGUAUAUUAGAGUUGGAAGGGUUUUAUGUGUUUUUUUACGGUAAUGUAAUCAGCUUAUGUUAAUUGUUAUUGUGGAAAUGUGAUAUAUAUUUGUUAUUUUGUGUAUUCUGUUUACUGUGUUUUGUUCCUAGCCAUAAUUUUUUGGUCGUUAAUUUGUUGUUGAAGUAUAUAAUUUUGCUCUUAUUUUAGUUAUUUGGAAUGGUGCAUUGUGGAGAUUCUAACUUGUUGGCAAGUAAUUUGUUAUUAUGUCUUAUAGUGCAAGGGAUGAUUUAGUUAAAAGUACUCCAAUGAUAAAGUUGCAACUAUAUCCGUGCUUGUGCCAGUUUAUCUGAAGUAGUCUGAUAUGUACGGAAUUGGAUUCACUGUAUAUGAUUCACUUCCUAUGAACUAUCCCACACUCUUGGUGUAGAAGGCAUCGGCAUUGUUAUUAUUAUUAGGAGUCGUAAACAGGGAUUGCAUUCAUCAUAUAUUAUACCCUAAAUUGAUAGAGCUGGGUGGAGUUUUGAAAGAAGGUGAGUCCUUAAAUAGUGAUAUAAUAUGCGGUGCUUUACUUUCUGAGUUUCAUAAUCUUGUCAGGUAAUAUUAUUCUUUAAGAAGCACCGUGAUUAGGAAAGAACGUAAGAUGUCAAAUAUGCCUCAGGUUCUUACGGGAAACACCUACAGACUAGUACAGUUCUUGGAUUAAUCAACUUGAUAGGAUAUUAUACAAUUUAAGAAGAAGAUGGAUGUCUAAAAAUAAAUUAGCUCAUAAGUCAAACAAUGUGGAAAUGAGGAAUGUUACAAUUUAUUUCAUGGACCAUAAUCAAAACUAAUCUAAUGUCCAUAAUUGAUGUAAAUAUUUUGUUACAGGCGAAAUUAAAGCAUUGGAAGCAGCUAUGAAUGACAUUAAUAACUCAUUUGGAAAAGGAGCUGUAACAAGAUUAAACGUUUAGAAUCUAAACUAUUAUUUGGUAUAAGAAUUGAAUUUUUUUAUUCAGUGUAGAUAUUAUUUUUUUGCAUCUCAAUAUACGUGUUAAAAAGUCAAAGUCGGUUAAAAUGUAACCGGGACAGAGGGAAUAUUAAACUUUCUGUCGUAGUAUAUUGUAUAGUUUGGUUGAAAGUUAUUAGUUUGUGAUAUAUCUUUACUUCUUUUUAAAGGUAUGUUUUCGUACACACUUUGAGGUAUUGUAAAACAAACUCAGUGCAAUCUUUUUCACGUGAAGAUUAUCUUGUUUAAUAUCCAGGAUACGUAUGGCUCUGAGAUGGUGAAGUAAACAAUGAAGAUGAUGCUCCAAAAAGAUGGAAAACAGUAACUAAGGCUGGCUAAUCUGCUACUUAUCUGCUAUUAAGAAGCUGCUGCUUGUCUACUUGGUUAUUUCGUUGAAGAUAAAGCAACGCGACAUAUCGGGAACUUUUGAAAUUGCAAGAACUAAGUUAAAAGCUGGCAAUGUAGAUGAUUUUUUUCCAAGUAGUUGAACCUACCAAUGUAUUCCUUACCAUAUUGUCUUAUGCUUAUUUCUAUGUAACAUCAAUGCUCAAAAGACUUAAAAUCUAAGUUACUCAAGUAGUUUUUAUAUUUGUCUGUUUAUUUAUUUACCUAUAUAAUGUAUAUAAUACGUUUGUGUGAUGACAGAGGAUCGAUUCAGCACUUUGUAAAAAAAAUUCAUAGUUUACAUGCUACUCACUUGACGUAUAUGUAAUUAAUAUUAUUUUUAAAAUUUUAUACUAAAGAAUGUCAAAUCUUAUAUCUAUAUAAAGCAAAAUCUCGGGCGUCUUACGUGGCGCUCUUUACGCUCUUGAAUCAAAAUCCCUGCUCUCUGCACUUUUGGCUAUUUCUUUUAUAUUUUCUCUCAGCUUGCCUAGCGGUUAUGUUCAGCCUGGGACUUGGACAGGCACUUCAGUUACCCGCUCCGUAACUGAGGUCUCUGUGCCUCCUCAGAGAUUUACUUAUAAAUGGCCUUCUCUGGACAAUCUUUUCACACCGGGGAAAGCCGAUCGGCAUGAAUAUGACGGAUUCAGCUAGAGGGUCAAAGCGGGUAUGUAUGUUAUUCUUGCUGAUUUUCAGGGUUGAUUUAUGUUAUAUGAUCAUAGUCGUGGGCAGUUAUCUCCUUCUGAUUUAUCCGGAGAGCAUAGCAGCAGAUUUUUAUGAUAAAGUCUUAGAUUUGACAGAGGCAAGGAAAGGUGAGGAAAAUCCAGGCAUCCAGCUGUAUGCUCAAAAACAAACCUCCAGCGCAAGUGGAGACUGUUCUAAGUGACUGCUCCUCAGCAGCAGUUCACCAACCUAAGCGCAAGAGCCAUCGUUACAUUCCACAGGGAGAUCUUGUAUGGGCAAUCAGUUCAGACACGAUUCAUUCUCUCGUGGGACUCUCUGAACUUUUCUUUGUACUCCCGCUUAUGAAUUCAGUUCUAGGCCUGUGAGCUUUCAAGGAUGUUCUUGCAUUGGCGUCACUCGACAGGGCCAACAAUUGAGCUGUUGAGAAACAAAAAAAUAAAAGAGGCCUUCGAAGAUGGUUUUAGGAGUUGCGUAAAGAUUUUUAUGGCCAUUGAUCCGAAAUAUAUUGGGCAGACAAAUUUGGCGAAGGGGUGGCCAAAUGGAUGAAAGAAUUUUCUGUUAUGGAGGCCGUUGUAUUACUGAGAGAAAUGCUCUGUGAAAGCGAGAGAUAGAGCACACCUUUAAAAUCCAAAUACAAAAGAUGAUGUUUGCUCAGAGAAAACAGAGGAUGUACUUCAACUACUUUAACUUAAAAAUUUAUGAAAUGUUUUGGGACUUCUUUUAGUGUGAGCAGCCUUUGAGGCUUUGCAAAUUGUAGGAUAAUGGUGGACAAAAAUUGUCUUGUCUUGAUUAAGAUAUUGUAUAAGCUGCUAUUCAUUUGGUUCUCAACUUUUAGACAAAUGUGUUAUCUUUAAUGUAAAAGUUUAAAUUUGCAAUUUUAAAGUUUUUUAUUUUUUUUCA